UACGAAGGGGGCUAGCGUUGAUCGGAAUCACUGGGCGUAAAGCGCACGUAGGCGGACUCUUAAGUCGGUGGUGAAAUCCUGGAGCUCAACUCCAGAACUGCCUUCGAUACUGGGAGUCUCGAGUCCGGGAGAGGUGAGUGGAACUGCGAGUGUAGAGGUGAAAUUCGUAGAUAUUCGCAAGAACACCAGUGGCGAAGGCGGCUCACUGGCCCGGUACUGACGCUGAGGUGCGAAAGCGUGGGGAGCAAACAGG
rnacentral:rRNA from 1 species